UGAGCAAUCUGCCCUUCUCUUCGGAAUAAGCGUUGGAAACGACGUCUAAUGCCGAAUACGACCUCCUUUCGCAUGAUCGGAGGUGGAAAGCUCCGGCGGAGAAGGAUGAGCUCGCGGCCUAUCAGCUAGUUGGUGAGGUAAUGGCUCACCAAGGCGACGACGGGNGUCGUGU
rnacentral:rRNA from 1 species